GACGAACGCUGGCGGCGUGCUUAACACAUGCAAGUCGAACGGAAAGGCCCUGCUUGCAGGGUACUCGAGCGGCGAACGGGUGAGUAACACGUGGGUGAUCUGCCCUGCACUUCGGGAUAAGCCUGGGAAACUGGGUCUAAUACCGGAUAUGACCUUCCAUGUAGUGUGGGGGGUGGAAAGAUUUAUCGGUGUGGGAUGAGCCCGCGGCCUAUCAGCUUGUUGGUGGGGUAAUGGCCUACCAAGGCGUCGACGGGUAGCCGGCCUGAGAGGGUGGACGGCCACAUUGGGACUGAGAUACGGCCCAGACUCCUACGGGAGGCAGCAGUGGGGAAUAUUGCACAAUGGGCGGAAGCCUUAUGCAGCGACGCCGCGUGGGGGAUGACGGCCUUCGGGUUGUAAACCUCUUUCGACAGGGACGAAGCUUCGGUGACGGUACCUGUAUAAGAAGCACCGGCUAACUACGUG
rnacentral:rRNA from 1 species